UACGUAGGGUGCAAGCGUUAAUCGGAAUUACUGGGCGUAAAGCGUGCGCAGGCGGUUGUGCAAGACAGAUGUGAAAUCCCCGGGCUUAACCUGGGAACUGCAUUUGUGACUGCACAGCUGGAGUGCGGCAGAGGGGGAUGGAAUUCCGCGUGUAGCAGUGAAAUGCGUAGAUAUGCGGAGGAACACCGAUGGCGAAGGCAAUCCCCUGGGCCUGCACUGACGCUCAUGCACGAAAGCGUGGGUAGCGAACAGG
rnacentral:rRNA from 1 species